rnacentral:rRNA from 1 species
AGAUUAAGUUAUUAAGGGCGCACGGUGGAUGCCUUGGCACUAGAAGCCGACGAAGGACGUUACUAACGACGAUAUGCUUUGGGUAGCUGUAAGUAAGCGUUGAUCCAGAGAUUUCCGAAUGGGGGAACCCAGCACGAGUUAUGUCGUGUUAUCGACAAGUGAAUUCAUAGCUUGUCAGAAGGCAGACCCGGAGAACUGAAACAUCUUAGUACCCGGAGGAAGAGAAAGAAAAAUCGAUUCCCUGAGUAGCGGCGAGCGAAACGGGAAGAGCCCAAACCAAUAAGCUUGCUUAUUGGGGUUGUAGGACACUCUAUACGGAGUUACAAAGGAAUAUAUUAGACGAAUCAUCUGGAAAGUUGAAUCAAAGAAGGUAAUAAUCCUGUAGUUGAAAAUAUAUUCUCUCUUGAGUGGAUCCUGAGUACGACGGAGCACGUGAAAUUCCGUCGGAAUCUGGGAGGACCAUCUCCUAAGGCUAAAUACUCUCUAGUGACCGAUAGUGAACCAGUACCGUGAGGGAAAGGUGAAAAGUACCCCGGAAGGGGAGUGAAAGAGAACUUGAAACCGUGUGCUUACAAGUAGUCAGAGCCCGUUAAUGGGUGAUGGCGUGCCUUUUGUAGAAUGAACCGGCGAGUUACGAUCUGAUGCAAGGUUAAGCAGGAGAUGUGGAGCCGUAGCGAAAGCGAGUCUGAAUAGGGCGUUGAGUAUUUGGUCGUAGACCCGAAACCAGGUGAUCUACCCAUGGUCAGGUUGAAGUUCAGGUAACACUGAAUGGAGGACCGAACCGACUUACGUUGAAAAGUGAGCGGAUGAACUGUGGGUAGCGGAGAAAUUCCAAUCGAACUUGGAGAUAGCUGGUUCUCUCCGAAAUAGCUUUAGGGCUAGCCUCAAGUGAUGAUUAUUGGAGGUAGAGCACUGUUUGGACGAGGGGCCCCUCUCGGGUUACCGAAUUCAGACAAACUCCGAAUGCCAAUUAAUUUAACUUGGGAGUCAGAACAUGGGUGAUAAGGUCCGUGUUCGAAAGGGAAACAGCCCAGACCACCAGCUAAGGUCCCAAAAUAUAUGUUAAGUGGAAAAGGAUGUGGCGUUGCCCAGACAACUAGGAUGUUGGCUUAGAAGCAGCCAUCAUUUAAAGAGUGCGUAAUAGCUCACUAGUCGAGUGACACUGCGCCGAAAAUGUACCGGGGCUAAACAUAUUACCGAAGCUGUGGAUUGUCCGUAGGACAAUGGUAGGAGAGCGUUCUAAGGGCGUUGAAGCAUGAUCGCAAGGACAUGUGGAGCGCUUAGAAGUGAGAAUGCCGGUGUGAGUAGCGAAAGACGGGUGAGAAUCCCGUCCACCGAUUGACUAAGGUUUCCAGAGGAAGGCUCGUCCGCUCUGGGUUAGUCGGGUCCUAAGCUGAGGCCGACAGGCGUAGGCGAUGGAUAACAGGUUGAUAUUCCUGUACCACCUAGCAUCGUUUUAAUCGAUGGGGGGACGCAGUAGGAUAGGCGAAGCGUACGAUUGGAUUGUACGUCCAAGCAGUGAGAUUGAGUGUUAGGCAAAUCCGGCACUCUUAAGAUUGAGCUGUGAUGGGGAGAGGAAAUUGUUUCCUCGAGUCGUUGAUUUCACACUGCCGAGAAAAGCCUCUAGAUAGAUAAUAGGUGCCCGUACCGCAAACCGACACAGGUAGUCAAGAUGAGAAUUCUAAGGUGAGCGAGCGAACUCUCGUUAAGGAACUCGGCAAAAUGACCCCGUAACUUCGGGAGAAGGGGUGCUCUUUAGGGUGCAAGCCCAGAAGAGCCGCAGUGAAUAGGCCCAAGCGACUGUUUAUCAAAAACACAGGUCUCUGCUAAACCGUAAGGUGAUGUAUAGGGGCUGACGCCUGCCCGGUGCUGGAAGGUUAAGAGGAGUAGUUAGCUUCUGCGAAGCUACGAAUCGAAGCCCCAGUAAACGGCGGCCGUAACUAUAACGGUCCUAAGGUAGCGAAAUUCCUUGUCGGGUAAGUUCCGACCCGCACGAAAGGCGUAACGAUUUGGGCACUGUCUCAACGAGAGACUCGGUGAAAUCAUAGUACCUGUGAAGAUGCAGGUUACCCGCGACAGGACGGAAAGACCCCGUGGAGCUUUACUGUAGCCUGAUAUUGAAAUUCGGCACAGCUUGUACAGGAUAGGUAGGAGCCUUUGAAACGUGAGCGCUAGCUUACGUGGAGGCGCUGGUGGGAUACUACCCUAGCUGUGUUGGCUUUCUAACCCGCACCACUUAUCGUGGUGGGAGACAGUGUCAGGCGGGCAGUUUGACUGGGGCGGUCGCCUCCUAAAAGGUAACGGAGGCGCUCAAAGGUUCCCUCAGAAUGGUUGGAAAUCAUUCAUAGAGUGUAAAGGCAUAAGGGAGCUUGACUGCGAGACCUACAAGUCGAGCAGGGUCGAAAGACGGACUUAGUGAUCCGGUGGUUCCGCAUGGAAGGGCCAUCGCUCAACGGAUAAAAGCUACCCCGGGGAUAACAGGCUUAUCUCCCCCAAGAGUUCACAUCGACGGGGAGGUUUGGCACCUCGAUGUCGGCUCAUCGCAUCCUGGGGCUGUAGUCGGUCCCAAGGGUUGGGCUGUUCGCCCAUUAAAGCGGUACGCGAGCUGGGUUCAGAACGUCGUGAGACAGUUCGGUCCCUAUCCGUCGUGGGCGUAGGAAAUUUGAGAGGAGCUGUCCUUAGUACGAGAGGACCGGGAUGGACAUACCUCUGGUGUACCAGUUGUCGUGCCAACGGCAUAGCUGGGUAGCUAUGUAUGGACGGGAUAAGUGCUGAAAGCAUCUAAGCAUGAAGCCCCCCUCAAGAUGAGAUUUCCCAACUUCGGUUAUAAGAUCCCUCAAAGAUGAUGAGGUUAAUAGGUUCGAGGUGGAAGCGUGGUGACACGUGGAGCUGACGAAUACUAAUCGAUCGAAGACUUAAUCAAUUU